ACCACUGCAUCAUUAAAGGGGAUUAAAAAGAGGCAUAAAUAAAUCUGAAUAGAAAUAUCCAUUUUCCUGGGUUUUAUCCUUCUGUACAAGCCCAAUUCUAGGGUUAAAAUGAUACUCUGGUUUGCCUCUAUAAGCAAGAAAUUCCUUAGCAGCAGCUCAAAAAUGACCUUAAUGUCUGGGUGAAACAUACUUCUUCACCUGUGGACACUCAGAGCUCCCAUCUCUGUCAGACACGCGUCACCUCUGCUAACACACCCAGGCAUCUCCAGGAGGACAGGGAACUGUCAUCCUCUCCAAGAUGGCUCUGCUCCACCCAACCCAGGCUUUCCUAAAGCCCCAAACUCCACACGGGAGGCAACGCCUGAUGAAGCAACGUUCCCGCCACAGCAUCCACCUUAACCUUCCAAACGCCACUGCUGUGAAGAGGAGCCAUCGCAGAUCGCCAUGGCGACAAAGCCCUUCUGACCCAGGGGAUCCACUGCUCUCAGGCACUGUCCAGCCGACACCUGGUAUAGCCGAUUGUUUUUCUGAAAAAAAGGUAGCAAGAAAAAAAUACUGCCAAUUACUGGCAAAACAUGGAAAUCCAGAGGAGAUAUGGAGCAUUUAAGAAUUCAGAUUAAGGGAUACAAUAGUCCCCUCUUAUCCAAAGAGAAAACAAACAGGCUGUUGGGCUACAGCGAUCCGCCCACCUCAGCCUUCUCAAUGCUGGGAUUACAGGCGGGAGCCACUGCGCAACCACGGUGACAGAGGAGCCCGACACCCUCUGGCUGACCCUCUGGAGACAGAAGGGCACACGGCUGCCAUUUUCACCGAUUCCUCAUCGGUGGGGCAGUCGGGAAGUGCACAGGCUGAAUCACAGAUGAUCUUCAGGAACACAACUGGGUG